UACGUAGGGACCAAGCGUUGUUCGGAUUUACUGGGCGUAAAGGGCGCGUAGGCGGUUUGUCAAGUCAGUUGUGAAAUCUCCGAGCUUAACUCGGAACGGUCAACUGAUACUGUCAAACUAGAGUACAGAAGGGGCAAUCGGGAAUUCUUGGUGUAGCGGUGAAAUGCGUAGAUAUCAAGAGGAACACCUGAGGUGAAGACGGGUUGCUGGGCUGAUACUGACGCUGAGGCGCGAAAAGCUAGGGGUAGCAAACGGGG
rnacentral:rRNA from 1 species